rnacentral:lncRNA from 1 species
CUAGGUUUCCCAUAUAAAGCUGUCCGAACAAACGCCCCCACCCGCAUUUCCAGUCAUCUUCUCCAACAACGAACCCUAAUCCCGCCGCCACCAAACCCCACCGCCCUAGGGUGGCGCCGACGCCUCCAAUCACCACCAAAAUUACACCCUUCGUCUUUCUCACUCUCCUCUUCCAAUCUAUGGCAAGGAUUUCUUUCGAAUCAAACCCUAGCUGUUCGAAUAUGUGGUCGAAAGUUUUUCCCAAUACACAAAAGUGUCCAGACAAGCUGAGAUUGAUGCCAGGCAGUCUCGUCGUCCUCUUAUUCAUAAAUCUAGGGUCAGUUUCCGUCAAAUAUCUCCAGGCCAUCCCCAAAUUUAAAUCUAGGGUUCAAGCUUUUCUGCCAUUUGAGAGCUUCAUUUGCGAAUGAUUUUGCUUAAUAUAAUGAAUUUAUUUCGACCGAGGUAAACCCCUAAUAUUAGUCAAAGUUCGUUCCCUGAAAUCCUAUGUGCAUGGAUUUGUUUUAGUAAGUGACCUUCUCACUUCUUCCUAGUUUUUUAGUUCGACUCAUGUUUUAUCUCGUAAUUAAUUGUAGUUUUAGUUUCUGAAUAAGUUUAAUUAGUAAUUCGCUUGCAAGUUUCUGACAAAUUCAGAUUAUUAGUCAUUCAUUGGGAAAUUCAUGCUUAUGAUUAAUUGUUAGCUCAUGUUUCUAAACUUGUUUGAUUUUCGUCCUGUUUUAGUUUAGUCAAUCGUUAGUAAAUUGGUUGUGUUAAUUCAGUUCUAGUGCAAGUAAAUAGUGUCAGUCAAAUGUUUUUGUGAAAAUUGUUGCUUCUUGAUUAUCAUGAUAUUUUGAUUCUGUGAGUUGUUGGGAAUUUCAGCUGUAGAUUUCAUUUUUGAUUAAUUAGUUUAAUUAGCCAUUCAAAUAGAAGGCAUUAUGUAGAGAUUUGGGAUUUAUUUCUGGGUAGCUGAUUGACCUUUGGUUGAGCAGUAAUUUUAGGAGGUAUAAGGGGUAAUUUGGGCAUGGGAAAAGGGUAUUUUAUUUAGGAAUAGUAUUUUUAAAAUAGGGAAGUGGUAGUAUAGGAAUUGUAAUGGGAAUAGGACCUUCUAGAAUAGACUUUAGUAUAGUAUUUUGCAAAGAAGAGGAACUUACUUGAGUAAAAAGUCAGAAAUGAGAGGAUUAAAAUGAAAAUAAGGAGGGACUAAUAUUGCAAAUUAAAAAUAUGAGGGUCGCCUCAUUUGUGCCUAUAAACGAGCAUUUCCUUUACUUCAUUCACAAGUUGGGCAGCCUAAAAAUCCCCCACAAAUCCCUUUUCAAGUUUCAGACUUGAGAAUCAAAAUCUGAAAAGCCAACUUCAUUUUUAGCUCUUAGUUAUAUCAAAAAUCCAAAAACAAAACAAAAUGUAGUGAAAACUUCAAAUAAAAAUACUCUUACAUUGCAUUUUCUUGUUCAAUUUUGAAUUCAGGGAUUGGUUUUCAUCUCAUCUAGUUCAAUAUUCAUCAGCUCAGGUUUCUGGGAGAUUAGUGAUUGGUUUUCAAGAGGUUUUUGGCUUAUCUGAUUCAGUUCUGAGUAGAUCUGAUGGCUACUGUGUGAAUUUUAUCUUCUAGUUAUUGGUCUACAUUGUUUUUUGGUUUCUGAUCAUUCAAAGUUUUGGAGGUGUUAUUGAAUGAUUUUGAGGGAAUUUGGGGUUCAAGAAGGACUGUUUUAGGCUGUUUUUAUCAUCUAGGAAUUUCAAAAAUGGUUCUAGUCCAGUUUUGAGUUGGUCUGGGUGGUUUCAAAUAGCUUUGGUCUGAUAUCGGGUUCAUUCGGGGAUCAUUGGGAAUUUGUUUGAGUUUGUACGAUUGUGUACUGAAUUGGUCUAUUGCUAUUACUCUAUUUCGGAACAUUUCUGAGUUGUGAAACAUUGCUGGGCUGCUUGUAGUCAUUUGGUUAUUGCUGCUGACCUUAUUUCUCCUUUGUUCACUCUUCCAGGUACAUAUUUCGAGCCCCGUUGAUGUAUCAGUGCUGUUGAAAACAUGAAUAAAUAGAAGUUAUGCUCCUGAUGAUGUUGUCUAGUUUUUUUUCCAGCAUUGUUAAUUAUUACUGGUUUUGCAUUUUUUUAAUCCGAAUUGUAUAAGCAUGAACAUAUAUUGGACUGAUUGAAUACAUCUUGUGAAUGGCUCGAGUCUAGUGUUAAGUAGUUUAACAAAUUCAUGUUAUGUUUGGUUCCUAAUCCUGUAGAUGUUAAUGCUAGGAUGAUUUAGCUAGUAAUUGAAAGUUAAAACAUAUCCAGACAUUGUUGAUUCAAAACUUUUCAAAUCGAAUAAGGAGCAGUCAACUUGUAGGCAAUAUGAUUUCCAUCUAAGUUUCUAGCCCGUGUUCGCUCAUUAAAUUGAUUAGUAGUUGUUUUAGUUAUGAAUUGUUUAGCGGCAUUUGAAUUAAUUUGAAAUAAGAGAAGUCUAAUUAGUCAUGUUUGAUUAAUGGGCUUCAAAGGAUAAAGUUGCUAAGCCUAAUAUCUGUAGUUCGUGAGUUUGGUUGAAAAAUAAGCUUUGGUGCAGUCAACUCAGGGAAUCGACCCCAAGACCUCCUGCUUGAGGUUUGUUGGGUUUAAGCUGAGAAACCGCAUGUCUGUCCAGUUUGGGCCUCAAUCUACGCCCAUAUGUCCUCUCAGCUUGGUCUUUUGGGCCUGCCAUUUGGGCCAAUCUGAAAUUCCAUUCAAGGUUUAAAUAGCAUGAACUUUGGUUUUGAGUUAGGUAACGGGUUUUAAAUUAAAGGUUCAUCAUUUUAUUUGGACCCGGACUUGAACUUGAAGCCCAAGAUUUAAUAAUAAUUUAAUUAGGACUUUCUUCUUUUCUUUUAGAGACAAAAAUCAAAAAAUAGAAAAAUCAUAGUCGAUUUUUUAGGCUUGCCUUUUAAAAUGAAAUGAGAUGAGGCUCGCCCAAUAAAAGUGCCAAAAUGCGGGGCCCUCAAAAAAGGUUUUAAAAAAUAUUUAGAUAAUCGGAAGGGCUAUUUAGCAAAUUUCAUGACCCUCCCAAAAAAUUACAACGCGUUAGACCCCAUUAAGCGUGAUUUAAAUAAUUUUACCUUCCUAAAUUUGGGUGGGAAUUUAUGCGGCCCAAAUCCAAAUCCUAAAAUGUUAAAUAGAGUGUGUCUAGGAUUGCGGGUUCAGUUGAUGCGGCGCAAUCCGAAAACACAUUUUAAACGACGUUCACUUUCUUAAAGAAAUAAAUAUCAAAAAAGCGCUAAAAAGUAAAAAUUGGUAAUAGGUUCUUCAUGUAAUUAAAUCAGUUAAAAGCUAAAUGCAACAAUGAAGCGACCGUGCUAGAACCACGGAACUCGAAAAUGCCUCACACCUUCUCCCGGGUUAACAGAAUUCCUUAUCCGGAUUUCUGGUUCACAGACUGUAACCGAGUAUUUUCCUCGGUUUCGGAUUCAACCGGUGACUUUGGACACCAUUAAUCUCCCAAGUGGCGACUCUUUAUAAAUGAUAAUAAAUCCCGUUCCGAUAGUCCUUUAAGUGAGAAAACUGCUUUACGCCCCUUUGCGGGGGUGUACAACAAAAAAGGAGGCGUGACAGUUAUGAUGACUCUGUUGGGGACAAGAACCCAGAAUCUCUGGUUCAGGGUUCAGAAUUCGAGGUUAGAAUAAUUGUUGUGUUUAGUUUUAUCUGAUUUUGCUACAUGUUAUGUGCUUAAUGUGCUAAUUGAUUGCUUUUACCGCUUUGAUAUUACGUGAACUAUAUAUAAACUGUGCCAAACCGAAUCUCCUCUCUGAGUCUUCUGAAUUGGGAAGAAGGGUGUACGGUGUACAAAUUCUUCUCUGUCUAGUAUCAAAAUCCCAAUUUAGAACGAGGUUCGGAUAAGUCGCAAAGCCGGUGAAGCUUCUGUAUUCCCGGAUUGCCACCUCCCCCUCGGCUCGAGCCGUCCGCUCAGGUAAGCUAGGUAUAGAACAAACACCCAGGUUUUGACCCUAGAAUAACUUAACCUCAUGCCGGAUCCGUAGUAGGAACGCUUAUCUGCAUCAUGUGCAUUUUGACUUAGGGGACUCAACACAUGGGUUGGGUCCGUCUAGGGCUAGCAACCUGAAAUGAAAAGACCAUCCUGAUGCAUCCUACGUGCUUUUCUGUGCAUUUAUUUGCUCGAUCCUGCAUGUGACCUUCUUUCUAAAUCUCGGGAAGGUUAGAAAAUGAGAAAGGGGGAAAAUAAUGAUUCAGAAAGUUAGCUGAUAAGUUCAGAAAAACCAUUGCCCAAGUAUUGUCGGAGUUCUACCGAAAUUUUGAAGAAAAUAUAAAAAAGAAAAAUAUCUUAUUUUUUAAAUAGUUGUUUCAGAGUCCGUCAUUAUUUUUUAGUUUGUCUUGUUUGGGAAAAUGGAAAAUGAAAAAUAGUUUGUUUUGCCAUAAAAAUGGAAAAACAAAAGGGUUUUUGAUUUUGCUUUCUUGCUUCAAAAUAGUUUAUUUGCCAAUGAAAAUAGGGUAUUUUGUUAAAGAAAAAGAGUCUUUAUUUUUAAUUCGAAAAAUGGUGGUGGAAAAAAGGGUCUUUAUUUUUAAUUUGGAAAAUAGGUUGUUUGUUGAAAUGAAAAGAAAAAUCAUUUUUUUGUCUUAUAAUAUAAAAGGAAAAAUAGUUUGUUUUGCUAUGAAAAACGAAAAAAAAACAGAGUGUUUGUUUUAAUCAUGUUUUCGAAAAUGAAAUAAAAGAGAAAAAAUAGUUUGUUUUAAAAUAGUUCGGUUAAUUUGCCCGAACUACGCAUGUUUUGAUUCUCACAGGGCAUGAGAUACGUAGGCGACCUUCAUCGGGUCCAACCCUCCGUUUAUAAAAAUAUCCCAAAAAUGUCAAAAUUUUAAUUUUUGCCACAAAUAAGUCAAGUAAGGCCGCUUUGUCAAAAAUAGCCAAAUGUUCCUAGAUGGGACGCCGGAAGGCUGAAUUUGCGUAAACGGCCUUCUUGAUAAAAUGUGAAUUUUGAUUGGUUGAAUACACAACCUUUAAAUCUUCGUUUCAGAAGUGCUGAAAGGUCGUGUUUGAAAAUAAAGUCUUUUAUUUUCAAAUUUGAAAACACGCAAAAUAGCAUAUAAACAUGUUUUAUCUCUUUUGAGUCAAAUAAAAUUUUUUCUUUUGCCUAAUCACCUUUAUAAAUGUGCAGGAUGAGCACAAAUCAAAUGAAAUCGUUCUUAGUUUUUAGCGAGGUCCCUCUACAGCUCCACAUGUGGUGGAAUGAUCUGGGAGAUGAUAGUAAAAGAUAGUGGAAAGAAUUUUGGGCAAUCUCGUCGAUCUGUUACUUAUCAAGCCAAAGAUGGAUGUCAUUGAAGCUUUAACACCGCUUUGGGAUCCAACCCGUAAUGUAUUCCUUUUUACAGACUUUGAGCUUACACUCACACUAGAGGAAAUUGCGGGUUAUGCAGGUUUGGACGGGAAAUUGAGGGGUCAAUAUUUGCUUUCACCUAGACCGGUGUCUCCGCAUAGGUUUUUGAAUUUGCUACACAUUAAUUGGAAAGUGCAAGAUGAAGAUCUGUCAAAAGGCUGCUGUACUCUCCAAUUCUUAUAUCAACGGUAUGGUACUCCUCGGGGUUUUGAAGAGCCAUAUCUCGGACUAACUCAUGAUAAGGACAGAAACAAAUGGGAGUCAAGACGUCCUUUAGCUUUCCUGACAGCCUUCAUGGGAAUCAUGGUUUCUCCACGCAAAAAUAAGAAAAUUGAUAUAGGCCUUGUAGGGAUGGCCGACGUUGCAAUCAAAAGGCCUAACAACACUGUGGUCCCUUUUGUAUUAUCUGAAAUAUACCGAGCCUUAACUGUGUGUCGAGAGGGUGGUGAUUUUUUCCAGGAAUGUAAUAUAUUACUUCAGCUAUGGAUACAGGAACAUCUCUGUCAUCGAGUGGGAUACAUGAACCACGGGCUAACUGGAAGGAACUGCAUCAGUGGCUUUUAGAAACGGGUAGCAGGCGUUGAAUUCCCUGGAGGUGUCGAGGCUUGGUUCGCACGAUUGAGGUCAUUAACAACUAAUCAAGUUGAAUGGGCAUUUGGGUGGUUGCCGGAUACCGAGGUAAUACACAUGGCGGCCGAAGAAUGUCAUCUUCUUUUGAUGGAGGUUCGCACCAUCCAGCCCUACGCUCCUCAUCGAGUAUUACGCUAGCUAGGAAGGUUCCAAACAAUCCCCACUGACGUGGGUUUGAGCAAGCAUGCCAUUGAGUUAAGUCCAGGGGCCUCAUUUCCCGAAAAGGUAGUUCAAAAGCUAUGGAAUGAGUGUAGAUUUCUUGAGUCAAAAACCAUGGUUCAAGAACGAGCUAAAGGAGAAGUAGAUCCGAAGUACGAGCUAAAGGAGAACGAGAUAGGGUCAAAGCCAUUUCUCAUGCCAUUGUGAGAAGAUGCUGGGCGUGUGAACAUAUGACUGUUACUACCUUUGUCCUAGCUGUAGUGGUCUUUGUUAAACGAACUUUGCUUGAAUUAGAGCAUCUUGAACACGAUUUGGAACCCAGGUCCGCGUCGAGGCCGAAUGACGACCCGCAGACACCUAAGUUUGAGUCAUUAGAGUAUGCGUAGGUUGUGUCUGUAUCUUUUUUUUAUUGAGUCCGUUUGUCAGUUGUUUUUCAUGUCAAGAUGAGUCUGUAGUUUGAAGUUGGUACUUGGUCUUAGUUUGUGUCUGUCAUUUCUUUCGCAAAAUGUUUAGUUUGUAAUAGCUUGUGUUUGCAAUUAAAAUUUGAAAAUCCCAAAAAUAUUUUCUUUUUAUUUUUGCAUUUAUUUUCACGAACUACGCUUGGUCUAAUUCAUGUGGGGUCACAAUACGUAGGCCAUCUUCAUAGGAUUCGACCAUAGCCUUAAAUAAAAGAGAAAAAAAGAGAAAAGAAUUGGAGGUAAAAGAAGGGAAAGAAAGAUAAAUGGAAAACAAAGGCGAGAAUAAAAGAAAAAAAGAAAGAAAAGAAGAGCGGGAAAACCAGGGUAAAAAUAAGAGCGGAAAAGAGCAAGAGUGGAAAAACAAAGGUGAGACUAAGAAAGGGAAAGAAAAGAGCAGAAUAGAGUAAGAAAAUGAAAAGGAAUGCCAGGAUGAUACAUGUGGACGAACAAAUGCAUUAUAGAAAUGAUUAACUGUAUAGGUGCAUUCCUGCCAACGUGCAGUUAUCAAAUAUGUUAAAACUAAUCAUUAGCCAAGUGGUUUUUUAAAUGUGUGAGUCCAGGCAUGUGGUUAGUUGAUUAGCAAUUCUGGCAACUCACCAUUACAACACCCGGUCGAAGGACAAAAAAAUGACUGGACAUGACUCGGAUACUAGUAUAAUGGACCCUACGAAAGAGGUCGAGGUGAUAGAUGUGGGGGAUAUGAAAGAAGAAAUGAAGAAGUUUAAAGCCCAAAUGAAGGCCAUGCACCGGGCUUGGUCUCAGGGGCACCCAGCACCAUUAUACCAUGCUAACCCCUCUUAUAUCCCGCACCUAGCGCAGGCUCAGGAAUCUUCCACUCCCGAAACAUCUCCCACCCUUCCAGUAUAACACCCAAGGGUAUGCCACUACUUCAUAUGCUCCACCGGCUCCACCANNNNNNNNNNNNNNNNNNNNNNNNNNNCAAGGCGAGUCCAAAAGACAACUUUCCAUUGCCAAACAUCCACAUAUUGAUCGACAAUUGUGCCAAACAUGAGAUUGGUUCUUUUGUGGAUUGAUAUGUGGAUUUCAAACAAAAUCCUCCUCUGCCAGUGGCCCACUCCUCCAGUUCCAUUGCAAAGGUCCUCUAGUGAACCACUAUUCCAAGCCCAUGACGCCCAAUAUUACCCGCCUGAGCCCACCUUUAAGGCUCCUGACCGUGCUCAUAUACCCCUCACUUUGAGAUCCCAGAAGAAGUCCAAAAACCAGUUAAAAAUUCAGAGCAUGAGCAAGUGAUCAGAAAAUUCAAAAGCCUGGAGCAAUCCUUCAGGAACCUUUGAGAUCCUAGAAGAAGUCCAGAAACCAGUUAAGAAAACAGAGCAUGAGGAAGUGAUCAGAAGAUUCAAAAUCCUGGAGCAAUCCUUCAGGAACAUGCACGGAUUGGGCAGUCAGGUCAGUGUUGCCUAUAAGGAUUUAUGCCCUUUUCCGGAUGUCCAGUUGCCCACGGGAUUCAAGAUUCUUAAAUUUGACCUGUACGAGGGACAAUGUGACCCGGUACCUUACCUCCGAGGAUUCUGAAGUAAGAUGAAGAGGUGCUGGGGGAAAAUUGAAUUACUGAUAGCCUACUUUGGUCAGCCUGAGCGGGUAUGCAUUGGAAUGGUACACCAGACAGGACCCUAGUCGAUGGUACACCUGGAAUGAUCUGGCACAAGCGUUCAUUGUCCAUUUCCAAUAAUACCUCGAGAUAGUCCCUGAUCGUCUAUCAUUGUUGAAUUUUGAGAAGAAGCCGGGAGAAAGCUUUAGAGAAUUUGUGUUCAGAUCGAGAGAGCAAGCUGGCAGAGUGGAUCUCUCAAUGAGAGAAAAUGAGAUGGUAGAUUAUUUUUUGCAAACGUUGGAGCCGACAUGCUUCGGUCACCUAGUGGAUUUCUGUGGGUAAAUCAUUCAAUGAGGUAGUGAAGAUGGGCGCCAUGAUUGAAGAGGGUUUAAAGUCCAACAAAAUGUUGAGUUAUUCAGCACUGAAAGCAACAACGCAGGCUAUACAAAGCGGCACUGGGGUGUGCUAGGUAAGAAGAAGAACGAAAAAAUGGCCACCUUGAGUUAUUCAACACUGAAAGCAACCACGCAGGCUAUACAAAGCGGCACUGGUGGUGUGCUAGGUAAGAAGAAGAAGGAAGAAGUGGCCAUAGUGGAAGCUAGCACCUAGUCGAGGCCCAGCAAUCCCCCACCCUACUAUAGCCAACCAAGACCCCACCACCCAAACUAUCCAUAUACUCCAUAUGGCCCACAACAACACUACUACCCUCCACCAGAACCACACUUCUCUGUCCACCAUGCCCAAACAUAUACGCAGCCUCCGGCACAUCCACAAUGGCGUGCGCUGGCUUCCCAAAACACAUAUACACCCCCACAAAACACCCAUCCACACCCCAGGGCUAACAAACCAGGACUCGGCUUCUGCCCGAACUAAAAUGUUCGAAAUAAGAGGGCCCCAAACAAAAGAACUUUUACCCUAUUGGGAGAAUCUUACACCGCUUUAUUCCAUAGACUGAAGCAGUUGGGAAUGUUAACCCUAAUCGAGCCCAAAGUACCAAACCCACCUCCCAGAAACCUGGACCAGUCCGUCAGCUGUGAGUAUUGCUCAGGAAUGCAUGGGCAUGAGACUGAAAAAUGUUGGAAGUUGAAGAAUGCAAUAAAAGAUCUCAUUGACAACUGCCGUAUUGAAGUGCAGGCUCGGAGGCGCCAAAAAUCAAUCUGAACCCACUAGGAAUGCCUGGGCAUGAGACUGAAAAAUGUUGGAAGUUGAAGAAUGCAGUACAUGAGCUCAUUGGCAGCCGCCAUAUUAAAUGCAGGCCGCAGAGGCGCCAAACAUUAAUCAGAACCCACUGCCAGCACAUCACGAUACCAACAUGAUUGAGUUGGUGCACAAGGAUGGGGAGGUGAAGAAACCCUCAAAAACCAUAGUGAUGAUUCGUGCUGUUGAGACCAGUUCAAAUGAGAAGCCGACCGAGGAACAGGCAGGGGUGAAGUUGAAAGAUACAAGUGACAAGCCAGUGAUGGGGAAAGAAUUAUCUGUUAUUGCAAAGAAACCAGAACUAAUUAAGUUGGUGUACCAGGACGUCACCCGCGCCCGUGGUUGUUGUGAAGGGUGCUUACAUAGAGCCAGUGAUCAUCAACCCAGUAGUCCAGCUACCCAUGGUUGACAGCAAAGCUGUGCCUUGGAAAUAUGAGAAGGUGAUAGUAACGUGCAAAGGAAAAGCGAUCUAGGGGGAGAGCUGUGAGGCGCAAGGGUUGACUCGAUCAGGGCAUUGCUUCGCUCCUGAGGAGUUGAGAAAGGCUAGGGCUACUAAAGACAGUCCAGCGUUGGUGAAAAAGGCUGUUGCAGAGGAGGAAGCAAAGGAGUUUCUAAAAAAGAUGAAGGUACAAGACUAUUCUAUUGUCGAGCAGCUGAGGAAAACACCGGCCUAGAUUUUGAUAUUGUCAUUGUUGAUACACUUUAUUGAACAUCGCCGAGCUUUGAUGAAAAUAUUAAAUAAAGCCCAUGUACCUGAUAAGAUUUCAGUGACCUACUUGGAGACAAUUGCUAGUAGGAUCUUUGAGGUAAACAGGAAAACGUUUUCGGAUGAUAAGUUGCCCGUGGAAGGAACAAAGCAUAAUAAAGCCCUUUACUUGACAGUCAAAUGUGAAGAUUCAGUGGUGACCAGAGCAUUGGUAGAUAAUUGGUCUAGUGCAAAUAUUUGCCCGAUAUCGACAUUGAACAAGCUAAAGAUCGAUAAUGACAGAAUACGCAGAAAUAGUGUGUGUGUCCAAGGUUUUGACGGGGGCAGAACAGACACGGUGGGGGACAUUAUCCUCGAGAUAACCAUUGGCCCACUUGAGUUUACCAUUGAGUUUCAAGUGUUGGACGAUGCGGUAUCAUACAAUCUAUUAUUGGGACGAAUAUGGAUCCAUGCGGCCAAAGCAGUGCCUUCCUCGCUGCAUCAAAUGGUCAAAUUUUAAUGGGACCGGCAAGAGGUGGUGCUACAUGGAGAAGACCCCACAAGUGUUGCGGGUGGUGAUAUUGUGCGUUUUGUAGAAACUGAUGACGAUAAAGGGCCAUGGGUCUAUCAGGUUUUUGACAUGAUCACUGUGAACAAAGUACCAGAGGGUAAAAGCAUCCCACGUCCUUGAGUAGCAACUGCAACCGUCAUGGUGGUUUAAGAAAUGAUGGGUAAUGGGUUUGUCCCGGGAAAAGGUCUGGGUGCCAAGCUUCAGGGCAUUGUUUAACCCGUGUCCUUGCCCAAGAAUUUAGAUACUUUCGGGCUGGGAUUCAAGCCAACAACAAUAGAUAUCAGAAGGGUCCGCAAGUUGAAAAAGAAAGCUUGGGUUCUCCCAAAACCAAUUCCACGUCUGUCCAAAUCCUUUGUCAGGUCGAGGGCUGAAAAUCAGUUAGCAACGUAGGUGACAGGUUCAUUAAUUGAAGAGAGGGGAAUCUGGAUGAAGGGUUUGAGAGGGUAUUUGCCGAAGUAAACAUGGUUCGUGCCGGUGAAGGUUCCAGUAAUGCAGACAUUCAGUACGUUGGGCCACAUGCUAGGAUCAAUAAUUGGGAAGCCACUCCUCUGCCAGUUCGGAGGGAGGCGGGGUAGUGGGAAUUUGUUUUUCCUUUUGUUUUCACGUGGAUUAUUCCUGGAUUUGUAAUUCUUGUGACUAUGUUCCGUCGAUUUGGAUGAGCUAAGCCUUGUUAUCUUUACGUUUUAAUGAAAUGCAAUUUCCUUCUUAUUUCCUAAUUUUUUUUCCAUUUUUCUUUUCUUUUCUGUACAGUUCUUUUUAUGCUGAUAUCAAUGACAUGACAUGCAUGAGGACUUGUUGGCGCGGUCUUAUAAGCCAACCUAACUCGGAAAUAAUAAUACAAUAAAUUGAAUGUGAUGAUGAAGAGGAAUAUGAUGAUGAUGAAGCCUAUGAGGAAAUUAGUAAGGAAUUAAAACAUUUUGAAGAAAAACCAAAACCGAACUUAAAUGACACAGAAGUAGUUAACCUAGGGACCAAGAUAAUGUCCAUGAAACUAAAAUAACACUUUGAGGAAGAACCCAAACCGAACUUAAAUGAUAUAGAAGCGUUUAAUUUUGUGGUCCAAGAUAAUGUCCAAGAAACUAAAAUAAUUGUUCAUCUAGAGCUGCAACUCAAGGAAGAAAUACUCGAGGCAUUAUUGGAAUAUAAAGACUCUUUUGCUUGGUCCUAUGAUGAUAUGCCAGGGGUGUGUACUGAUUCAGUGGCUCACAAGCUGCCUACUGAUCCAUCACUCCCACCUAUUAAGCAGAAACUGAGGAAGUUCAAAACAGACAUAAGUGUGAAGAUUAAAGAAGAGAUCACUAAGCAGUUUGAUGCAAAGGUUAUUCGGGUUACCUGGUAUCCCACCUGGUUAGCUAAUAUUGUGCCUGUACCAAAGAAAGAUGGUAAAACCAGGGUGUGCGUGGAUUAUCGAGAUCUCAACAAGGCGAGUCCAAAAGACAACUUUCCAUUGCCAAACAUCCACAUAUUGAUCGACAAUUGUGCCAAACAUGAGAUUGGUUCUUUUGUGGAUUGAUAUGUGGAUUACCAUCAUAUCUUAAUGGACGAGGAGGAUGCAUAGAAGACGACAUCCAUCAUGCCGUAGGGAACAUACUUCUAUUGGGUCAUGCCAUUUGGUUUGAAAAAUGUCGGGGCAACUUACAUGAGGGCCAUGAAAUCGAUCUUCCAUGAUAUGAUACAUAAAGAGAUUGAAGUGUACGUAGAUGAUAUGAUUGUGAAAUCAAGGAAGCAUUCUGAUCAUGUCAGGGAUUUGAGGAAAUUCUUUCAAAGGCUACGCAGGUGCAAUCUAAAGCUCAAUCCUCCAAAGUGCGCUUUCGGGGUGCCAUCUGGAAAGUUUCUACGGUUUGUAGUCAGUCGCUGGGGUAUUGAAUUGGAUCCAUCGAAGAUUAAGGCCAUUCAGGAAUUGCCUCCUCCGAAAAACUAAACCGAUGUGAUGAGUUUGUUGGGAAGAUUAAACUACAUUAUCAAGUUCAUUGCUCAGCUUACAACUACUUGUGAAGCCAUUUUCAAAUUGCUAAAUAAAGAUGCCGUGGUUAGAUGGACGGAUGAAUGUCAGAAAGCUUUUGAUAAGAUUAAGGAAUAUUUGUCAAACCCGCCCGUGUUGGUUUCGCCAGAACUAGGGAGGCCUUUGAUUCUGUAUAUGACAUUCUUGGAUAAUUCAUUUUGCUGCGUACUGGGGCAGCAUGACAUCACAGGAAGGAAGGAGCAGGCGAUCUACUAUCUCAGCAAGAAUUUUACAUCUUACGAGGUUAAGUAUUCUCAUCUUGAGAGGACGUGUUGCGCCCUAACUUGGGUGGCACAGAAGUUGAAACAUUAUUUGUCGUCCUACACUACAUACAUCAUAUCUUGGUUAGAUCCACCGAAGUAUAUUUUCCAGAAGCCUAUGCCCACGGGAAGGCUCACAAAGUGGUAGAUCUUGCUUACAGAGUUUGAUAUUAUCUAUGUGAACCGGACUGCAAUGAAAGCCCAGGCUUUAGCUGAUCACUUGGCUGAGAAUCCGGUUGAUGAUGAUUAUGAGCCUUUGAAAAAUUAUUUCUCCGAUGAAGAGGUAAUGCAUAUAGAUGAGUUGGAAUAGAUAGAGAAACCAGGAUGGAAAUUGUUCUUUGAUGGAGCGGCAAAUAUGAAAGGGGUGGGAAUAGGAGCUGUAAUUAUUUUCAAAAUAGGUCAGGACUAUCCUGUUACGGCUCAGCUACGUUUUUAUUGUACGAAAAACAUGACGGAAUAUGAAGCAUGCAUUUUGGGCUUGAGAUUGGCUAUGGAUAUGGGUGUCCGGGAAAUCUUGGUCAUGGGUGACUCGAACUUACUGGUACAACAAAUUCAGGGAGACUGGAAACCACGAGAUAUUAAAUUAAUACCUUCCGGACAGUGCCUGCAUGAGCUUUGUCAAUGGUUUCAGUCCAUGCAUUGUCAAUGGUUUCAGUCAAUAGAAUUCAGACACAUCCCAAGGAUUCAUAAUGAGGUUGCCGACGCUUUGUCUACUUUGGCGUCAUGUUGCAUCAUCCAGACAAGACUUACGUAGAUCCAUUGCAGAUUCAGGUGUAUGAUCAAAAUACUUAUUGUAAUGUGGUAGAAGAGGAACUUGACGAUGAGCCGUGGUUUCAUGACAUCAUGGAAUACAUCAGGAUGGGAAUAUAUCCAGCACAUGCCACAAGUGAUAAAAAAAGGACUAUUCAUCGAUUGGCAAGCAGAUUUCCUGAGUGGCGGAGUAUUGUACAAAAGAAUGCUAGAUCUCGGAUUAUUGAGGUGCAUGGAUGUGAGGCAAGCCACAACUAUCAUGACUGAGGUACAUUCUGGAGUCUGUGGACCGCACAUGAGCGGAUAUGUUUUUGCAAAAAAGAUUUUGCGGGAAGGGUAUUAUUGGCUUACAAUGGAGCGGGAUUGUAUUAGUUUUGUACGAAAAUGUGAUCAGUUCCAAGUGCAUGGAGAUGGGUAUUAUUGGCUUACAAUGGAGCAGGAUUGUAUCAGCUUUGUACGCAAAUGUCAUCAAUGCCAAGUGCAUGGAGAUUUGAUUCAUUUUCCACCGUCAGAAUUGCAUACGAUGUCAGUUCCAAUGCCUUUUGUUGCUGGGGGCAUGGACGUUAUUGGGCCGAUCGAUCCGGCAGCAUCAAAUGGGCACAAGUUUAUCCUGGUUGCAAUAGAUUAUUUUACCAAGUGGGUGGAAGCGAAGACGUUCAAGUCUGUGACUAAGAAAACUGUGGUGGAUUUUGUGCAUGCGAACAUUAUUUGUCGGUUUGGUAUACCAAAGGUGAUUAUCACGGACAAUGGGGCUAAUCUCAGCAUUCAGUUGAUGAAGGAAACGUGUGAGCAGUUCAAGGUUACUCAUCGUCAUUCCACUCUGUACCUCCCUAAGGCAAAUGGUGCGGUUGAAGCAGCAAACAAGAACAUAAAGAAAAUAUUGCGGAAAUUGGUUGAAGGGUCUAGACAGUGGCAUGAGAAGUUGCCUUUCACAUUGUUGGGAUAUCGCACCACCGUUUGUACUUUGGUGGGGGAAACUCCUUAUUCAUUGGUAUAUGGCACCGAGGCAGUAAUACCCACCGAAGUGGAGAUCCCGUCACUUCGAAUAAUUGCGCAAGCUGAAAUCGACGAUGAUGAAUGGGUAAAGACCCGUCUGGAACAAUUGAGCUUGAUCGAUGAGAAAAGGUUAUCAUCAGUGUGCUAUGGGCAAUUGUACCAACGAAGGAUGGCAAGAGCGUACAAUAAGAAAGUACGUUCGAGGAAAUUCGAAGACGGACAGUUAGUUUUGAGGCGGAUUUUGCCUCAUUGGGCUGAAGCAAAAGGAAAAUUCGCCCCGAACUGGCAGGGGCCAUUUGUAGUAACCAGGGUGUUGUCUAAUGGUGCAUUGUAUUUGACAAAUGCAGAAGGGAAAUGCGUAGAAAUUACCAUCAAUUAUGAUGUUGUCAAGAGAUAUUAUAUAUGAUUUCUUUAUUGUGAAUGUACUUGCUUGUAUUUGGCAUACUUCAAAGAUUGAAAUGAAGAAGGCAUUUUGUGCUGCUAUCCAUAUUAAUUCUGAUGCGGUCAAGAGAUAUUACGUAUGAUUUCUUUAUUCUGAAUCUACUCGCUUGUGUUUGGCAUAUUUUAAAGAUUGAAAUGAAGAAGGCAUUUUGUUCUUCUAUCCAAACACUUUUAUCCUUUGUUACCCCGUUGAGCCUUAAUUAUUUUCGUUCAUACCCCUCUUUCGGAAUAAGCGGCACAAUCAAGAAACGCAGGUGCCGAGCAUAAAGCAAAGAAAAAAAGAAAAUAAAAAUAGAGAAAAAGAAAGGAAAUGAAGAAAAAAAGAAAAAAAAAGAAAAGAAAGGAAAAGAAAAGAAAAAGAAAAGAAAAGAAAUAAACAAAAUGAAAAGAAAAGAAAAGAAAAGAAAAGAAAAGAAAAUGAGAAUAGAAGAAAAGAAAAAUCACAACAAAGGUAAUCAUGAUAAAGUGAACUACGUUUGACUUGAUCCCGAAAAGGUACGUAGGCAGCCUUACUCCAAGGUUCAGUCAUACCAAAAUAAAACUCCAAAAGUCCACAAGCAAAAACUAUGGCAGAAGUUGUGGUUCGUUUUGAGAAAUUGGAUCCUGAAAGUUGUAAUGAUAACCCAUUUUGAAAUUGUUUUGAGCCUUUUAUAUCAUUCUCUCUAACCCAUCCAAAAGCCUACAUUACGGUCCAAAGAAAGACCAUCUGAUCAAUUUUUGAGAAAAUGCCAUGUCGAGCAGGGAAAUGUGAUUCGCAAUAGGGGCAACCCUUUGGUCCAAGCCAGAAAGUAGAAAAUGAAAUGAGAGAGUCUUAGUGGUGAAAACCUUCAUGGGAACCCUAGGGUGAAAGGGAGUUUGAGAAGCGGCAAACUGAGAAAGGUCCGUUGGUGAAAUACUGUUCGCUGCAUCGUAGGAUAAAUGAGGUUAAGGUUAGGGUAAAGUAAUCAAGUGAUGGAAGUUCUGGGAAAUGAAGUAUGACAAUUGAAGAGCUGUUUAGUUGGAUCGGUUGGGCCGAUUAAUCCGAAAUGCAUGUCGUGAUCACUAGUGCCAGCUGUUCCAGUCAGAUAAGUUUCUUUACUUUUCCUUUUCAACAAUCAUCUGGUUUUGGAUUCGUUUAUCCUUAACUCAUAAAAUUAUUUCAUUUCAUUCUCUGUCGGGGGUUUCAGUUUGUAAAAAAUGUUUCAAUGUCAGUUUUUUUAAAUGAAAGGGGAAAGGAUUUUAAAGCCCACUACCAACUUCCGAAAAUUGUAAAGCGUAAUGUGGCUAGAGCAUGUCAGCAACAAUGUGAUGCAAAGUGAAAUAAGGGAAGUCGCCAGAAGUUCCAUUGACAGAAUAUUUGGGAAGUGUUAUGGGAAAUGUGAAGGUUCAGGCAAAAGAGUCGGAAAGGUGAAACAAUAGUGGGAGUACAAAAGCAUUCAGGUUGUCAGAAAUUGGGAAAUGUGAAAGUCGGUCAGAAAGUCAGACAGUUCAGAGGAAGUUAGGCAACACAAAGCAAGGCAAUAGAAGGAUGAUGCACCAAAAGUGGCAUCAACUAACCACCAUUUUUAAUCUAACAAAAUUUUCUGGUGAUUGAAACAGGGGCAGAAAACUGUUUGGAAGGAGGAAUUCUCCGUGAAAGAAAAGCGGGCAGUAAUCAAGUUUGAUCGCAAGUGUGGCUAGAGGAAAAUUCAAGAAAACAAGGAGCGACUUGAAGAGAUGUUGAGGUCAGGAGCCCGCUUGAAAAACAGAGGAGUGCAUUUCGGUCUUUAAAUUUUAAAGUUACACUUUGGUCCUAUCGUUCAAGUUUUGGUUUCAAUCCUCAUUAGUAUGUGGUAAGAAGCCCCAGUUUCACCAAACUGGGGCAGAAAGUUCUCUUUGUUUUAUUUAUUUUUGUGAAAUCAGGAGUCCGCUUGGAGAACAGAGACAUACAAUUAAAAAUUUAGAAGUCAGGAGCCCGCCUGAAGAACAGAGGCAUGCAAUCCAAAUUUUAGCAAUCAGGAGCCCUCCUGAAGAACAUAGGUGAUACAAUUCAAGUUAAUAGUUUUAAAUCAAUUCCUUCGUUUAUUUUGGUAGUCAGGAGUUCGCCUGGAGAACAGAGACACAUGCUUCAAGUCAGAAGUCAGGAGUCCGCUUGAAGAAUAGAGACAUGCAUUUAGAAUUUUGGGAAGUCAGGAGUCUGCCUGCAGAACAGAGACAUAUGCUUCAAGUUAGCAGUCAGGAGUCCUUCUGAAGAAUAGAGACAUACAAUGCAAGUUUGGAGUCAGGAGCCUGCCUGAAAAAUAGAGGUGAUAUAAUUCCAAUUUUAGUUUUCAAUCAAUUUUCUUGUUUAUUUUGAAGUCAGGAGUCCGCCUGGAGAACAGAGACAUACAAUUCUAAUUUCAUAAGUCAGGAGUCCGCCUGUAGAAUAGAGACAUGCAUUUAGAAUUCUGGAAGUCAGGAGUCCAUUUGGAGAAUAUUGACAUGCAAUUGGAAUUUUGGAAGUCAAGAGAAAAGAGACAUACAGUGCAAAUUUUAGAAGUCAGGACCCCGCCAGGAUAAUAGAGGAAUACAUUCUAUUUCAAGUUCAGUAGUUAGGAGUCCGCCUGGAGAAUAGAGACAUACAAUUCAAAUUUUAGCAGUCAGGAGCCUGCCUGGAGAAUGGAGGUGUUAAAUUUUAUGUUGAUGUUGAAGUCAGGAGCCCACCUGAGAACAAAGGUAUAUGAUUCAAGCUUCGAAAUCAGGAGCCCGCCUGUAUAACAGAGGUAUUUCAAGUUAAGUUUUAGUCAAAAUUCUUAUUUAUAUAUGGUAACAAGCACCCACUUUUCCAAACUGGGGCAGAAAGUUUUCUUUGUUUUGUCUAUUUUCAUGUAGUCAGGAGCCCUCCUGGAUAAUAGAGGAACACAGUCAGGUUCAAGUGCAGCAAUCAGGAGCCCGCCUGGACAACAGAGGAAUACAGUCAAGUUCAAGUUUAUUCAAGUUCAGCAAUUUGCAGGGAAGGAACAACACCUCUGUUCAUGAUUUGAAGUAAAACCAAGGAAUUUCACCAAGGGAACACACGACAACAAGGAAGUGCAAGAGCAAGUUUGAAGAUUUAGAUAGGACUUUUUGUAAUUCAUAGUUCAUAGCAUAAGCUAGCUUCUUUUAUUUUCGACAUGGUGUAAUAAGGAAGGUCAGCGAGCAGCAGCAGCAGCAGCAAGCGCAGUGAAAUCACAGCUCCUGGUAGUCCAAGCUACCAGACACUCCCGAACUACACUGACCAGAUUCCUGUUUAGCCCAGGAUAUGUAGGCAUUAUUUGAAGCAGGGUGCGGUCAAAACUUUUCAAUAUGCUUCACAACUGAAUAUUUGAACAGGCAAAAAUCGCUCGUAUUUGAUCACUUAUCUUUGCCCGAAAACAUUUCAUGUUUCCGAGCAAAGAGGGCCAGCUGUGAGCACAUGAUUUUUGCCCUAUAUAUGAAUUAUUCCCACAAAAUUCAAACAAAAGAUUUUUCUUUAUUUUUACAAUUUUUUGUGAAUUUUGGUGUCAUUUUGUGUUAAGUGUUUGCAUUUUAUUUGUGCAUGUUAAUUCAUAUGAAAUACAAAAUACGCAUUUGCAUUUAGGCUUUAAUAUUUUAGGAUUAGUUAGGUGUUAAUUUGUUUUGGCUCAAAAUAUGAAAAUUUAUGCAAAAUUAGUUCAUUUUGCAUUUUAGUUGUUAAUUGUUUAGUUUGUCGCGAAAUAGAUUUUAACAUAAUUUUAGGAAUUAAAUUAGUUUAAUUUUUGAAAUAAUUAGAUCUUUAUCUUUAUUUUUGUAUUGUGUAUAAAAAUCAGAAAAUAUGAAAAGAAUAUAAAAUGAAAAAAAAACACCAAAGGAAAUGAAGGGAAAACUAAUAGAAAAGAGAGAAAAGACGAGGGUCUUCUUAAAUUGGGCAAUUUUUAUUGCCAGCCCAAGUCUUCCCCCCCAAAACUACACCUGAACCGGCCCAAACAAAUUCCCAAACCAGUCCGAUUAUUAAUCAGCCAAACGAUGCCGUUUUCCAUAUGCAAUCCUAGCCCUCAAUUCUCGAUCUAACGGUCGAGAUUGUCCUAGGUUUCCCAUAUAAAGCUGUCCGAACAAACGCCCCCCACCCCUAUUUCCAGUCAUCUUCUCAAACAACGAACCCUAAUCCCUCCGCCACCAAAUCCCACCGCCCUAGGGUGGCGGCGCCACCUCUAAUCACCACCAAUAUUACACCCUUCGUCUUCCUCACUCUCCUCUUCUCAUCUAUGGCAAGGAUUUCUUUCGAAUCAAACCCUAGCUGUUCGAAUUUGUGGUCGAAAGUUUUUUCCAAUACACAAAAGUGGCCAAACAAGCUGAGUUUGAUACCAGACAGUCUCGUCGUCCCCUUAUUCAUAAAUGCAGGGUCAGUUUUCGUCAAAUAUCACCAAGCCAUCCCCAAAUUCAAAUCUAGGGUUGAAGCUUUUGGCCUUUUCAGAACUUCAUUUGCGAAUGAUUUUGCUUAAUAUUAUGAAUUUAUUUUGAUCGAGGUAAACCCAUAAUAUUAGUCAAAGUUCGUUCCCAGAAACCCUAUGUGCUCGGAUUUUUGUUAGUAAGUGACCUUCUCACUUCUUCCUAGUUUCAUUUUAAUUCAACUCAUGUUUUAUCUCGUAAUUAAUUAUAGUAUUCGUUUCUGAAUAAGUUUAAUUGGUAAUUCGCUUGCAAGUUUCUAGCAAAUUUAGAUUAUUAGUAAUGCAUUGGGAAAUUCAUGCUUAUGAUUAAUUGUUAGUUCAUAUUUUUAACCUUGUUUGAUUUUCGUCCUGUUUUAGUUUAGUCAAUCGUUAGUAAAUUGGUGGGUGUUAAUUAAGUUUUAGUGCAAGUAAUUAGUGUCAGUCAAAUGUUUGUGUGAAAAUUGUUGCUUCUUGAUAAUCAUGAUAUUUUGAUUAUGUGAGUUGUUGGGAAUUUCAGCUGUAGAUUUCAUUUUUGAUUAAUUAGUUUAAUUAGUUGUUCAAAUAGAAGGCAUUAUGUAGAGUUUUGGGAUUUAUUUCUGGGUAGCUGAUUGACUUUUGGUUGAGCAGUAAUUUUAGGAGGUAUAAGGGGUAAUUUGGGCAUGGGAAAAGGAUAUUUUAUUUAGGAAUAGUAAUUUUAAAAUUGUUGCUUCUUCAAAUAAAAAUACUGUUACAUUGCCUUUUCUUGUUCAAUUUUGAAUUUUGGGUUUGGUUUUCAUCUCAUCUAGUCAAUAUUCAUUAGCUCAGGUUUCUGGGAGAUUACUAAUUGGUUUUCAAGAGGAUUUUGGCUUAUAUGAUUCAUUUCUGAGUAGAUCUGAUGGCUACUAUGUGACUUUUAAUUUCUAGUUAUUGCUCUACAUUUUUUGUUUGGUUUCCGAUCAUUCAAAGUUUUGGAGGUGUUGUUGAUUGAUUUCGAGGGAAUUUGGGGUUCAAGCAGGACUAUUUCAGGCUGUUUUUAUCAUCUGGUAAUUUCAAAAAUGGUUCCAGUCCAGCUUUGAGUUGGUUUGGGUGGUUUCGAAUAGCUUUGGUCUGAUAUCGGGUUCAUUUGGGGAUCAUUGGGAGUUUGUUUGAGUUUGUACAAUUGUGUACUGAAUUGGUCUGUUGCUAUUGCUCUAUUCCGGAACAUUUCUGAGUCGUGAAACAUUCUGCUUGUAGUCAUUUGGUUACUGCUGCGGACCUUAUUUCUCCUUUGUUCACUCUUCCAGGUACAUAUUUCGAGCCCCGUUGAUGUAUCAAUGCUGUUGAAAAAAUGAAUAAAUAGAAGUUAUGCUCCUGAUGAUGCUGUCUAGUUUUUUUUCCAACAUUGUUAAUUGUAACAUGUUUUGUAUUUGUUUAAUCCUAAUUGCAUAAGCAUGAACAAAUAUUGGACUGAUUGAAUACAUCUUGUGAAUGGCUCGAA